GAGAGAUUUGGAAAGGGGCUGACAUCGAGAUGAGGAAGGGGACCACGGCUUUAAGCUGAGGAAGGGGACGACCGUCUCGUUUCAUCACGAUGGAUGUAUGCCAAAAUGAUGGGGAAGGGGGAAGGGGAUGGACGUAUUCCAAAAUGAUGCGUCUUACUAGGGGUGUUCAAUUUCGGCUUGGUCUGGAACCUGGAUAACCGGAUUUUGGUUCAAGCUUUCGGCUCAGAUUUGAUCCGGGCCGAAACCUGCAUUACAAAAUCCGGACCAAUCUGGUCCGGAUACGGUUAUGAAAUCUGGAUUCCAGGUUUAAAACCUGGUACCCGGGUUAUAUAUAUAUAUAAAACAACCCGGUUAACUUCAACCCUACCUCUCUCUCUCUCUCUCUCUCUCUCUCUCUCUCUCUCUCUCUCUCUCUCUCUCGUAAGCCGCUUCUUCUCUAUCUAACUUCCCUCUCUCUUCUAAGUCCAAGCAAGAGCAGCAGCUGCAGCACCGAUCGACUUCUCUUCCAUGUUGUCGCCGUCACUCGAUCUCACUCUGGGGCUCUGCUCAGUUCCGGGUUGCCUUUUUCGUAGUCAUGGCUGUGCGUCGGAUCGGCUCCUUCAACACGUUGUUAGUGCGUAAAUGGUCUUUGGGUUGGCCAGAUCUACCAUAUUUUUUUUGUAUUUUUGAUGAUCUAGGCGAGUUUUACUCUUCAGAUUAGAAGCUCCAAAAUCUCUCUCUCUUUCUAAGAGGAAGCCCUAGCCACUAGAUUAUGCCUUUGCUAUCGUUUUCUCUCGUCGGACCACUUUAGUGUCAUGACUACCGUUGUUGCUCUCUCGCUGAACGUUUGGAUCAUCACCUUCGACAGAAAUUGCCGCUAGCCAAUUUGGGUGUGCUAUGGGAAAUUACUAUAGCUUGCAAAAAGACCAUAGAUAUGUAAUUUUCAUGUGUCCUGCAGUAAAACAGGACUAUUACAUAUGUAAUUUUUAUAUAUUGUAAUUUUGUAUUUUAUAAUAUAAUAUAUAAAUACCAAAUGAUGUAAUAAGUAGUUAAUUACAUUAUGUGUUGCAUGCA